rnacentral:rRNA from 1 species
UAGGGAAUCUUCGGCAAUGGACGAAAGUCUGACCGAGCAACGCCGCGUGAGUGAAGAAGGUUUUCGGAUCGUAAAACUCUGUUGUUAGAGAAGAACAAGGACGUUAGUAACUGAACGUCCCCUGACGGUAUCUAACUAGAAAGCCACGGCUAACUACGUGCCAGCAGCCGCGGUAAUACGUAGGUGGCAAGCGUUGUCCGGAUUUAUUGGGCGUAAAGCGAGCGCAGGCGGUUUCUUAAGUCUGAUGUGAAAGCCCCCGGCUCAACCGGGGAGGGUCAUUGGAAACUGGGAGGCUUGAGUGCAGAAGAGGAGAGUGGAAUUCCAUGUGUAGCGGUGAAAUGCGUAGAUAUAGGGAGGAACACCAGUGGCGAAGGCGGCUCUCUGGUCUGUAGCUGACGCUGAGGCUAGAAAGCGUGGGGAGCAAACAGG